ensembl:lincRNA
CACACAGCGCUCAGAGCGGUGCUGGGCACCAGAAUGUUCGCUGUUACUCCAGUGCUGCACACAGGUUGCAGCGCACCUGUAAUCCCGUGAUGUGUGCACGAGCCUUAACCUGGAGGGACAGAUCGGGCCGCCACGAAGGGUAACGGAGCCCGUCUCGCGGGACACCUGCUUCUGUCCUCACACUGUCCGUGGUUCUUUCAGGUCCCCACUUCUCAAACACAUAGAACAGGGAUGCUGCUGAGGGCCUUCAGAGGCAAGCUUGCUCCUGCCCGUCAGCCUGCACAAUAUCGUCGCCCGUGUCCAAACACACUCCUCAGACACAUUCUCUUUCCCUGCCACAGACCCCACACCAUGCCCCUUCCCUGGACCCCUCUCUCCUCUCUGCGCCCGUGUACCUGACACAGAAGGUGAAAGUCUCCUUGCCUACCAGUGCUGCCUGCUGCACAAGUUUGGAUCGCACGCCCCCCACCUACCUGUUGAAGUCCUAGGCAUCUCCAUGGCUCAGAAUCACUGUUUCUUCUGCGCUCUCCAGGCAGGCAUUUCCCCCAGCGCAUCUCUGCGCUGUCUCCAGCAGUGCCCACCACAGCGGCUAGCACCGCUCCACUCUUCAAAGAUGGAGUCUAAGGCGGAGAAGAGCACUGCUGCCCCAGGUCACCCUGUUCGCGUAUGAGGUGGAGUCAGGACCGAAAUUUAGGUCUGCGGAGCCCAUGCCCAAGCUGCUAGGCCCCAGCUGCUUUGUUCCUCGCUGAAGAGCUCCAAGCCCUAGAGCUCGCCUCCUGCCCCCCUCGGUUCUCACGGAUCGCUUCAUAGGACCGCAGAGGGAAGACUGUUUAGUUCAUCAAACCUUUUGCUGCACCUCACCAGGCUCUUUGUUAAAUUUUCCUGUGGGACAAUUAGCAACUGGCUGUAAACUCAGUAGAGGAGUUACAGAAAGCUUCCCGGGAAAGAGGAGGUCCAGGUAGGCUUAGAAAACCCAGUGGAUUCGGUGAGUUAAGAGAGUGAGCCCACUGCAGGUAAUCUAAGUGCAGACUUACCAGGAACUAUGAGAAAAGCCAUGUGAUGUGUAGGCGACAUGGUGGCUUAAUGUGCUUUGAGGAAGGAUAGGAGAUAGGACCUACUAAAUAAGCUUUCCACUGCCAGCCAGGGAAUGUCAGCCUAAUGUGCGCAGAAUGCUGUUUUGUGAUAUGCUGUUCCUUAUUGUUAUCUAUCCUGAUUUGUGUGGUUCAAGUUCUUUUUUGGGGAGGGUACCAGGGAUCGAACUCAGGACCUUGUGUUUGUGAGGCGGGUGUGGUGCCACUGAGCUAAAUCCCUGGCCCUCAAGUUCUUUUCUUUUGUUUUCUUUUUUUUUUUUACCAGGGAUUGAACUUGGGCCCUUGUACUUACAGGCAGGUGGCAGAACCACUGAGCCAAAUCCCUGGCCCCCUGAAGUUCAUUUUCAGUAGUGUAUAUUAUUCCACUGGAUAUCACAAGUUACUUAUUCUAAUAUGCAUGAACAUUUAAGGUUCUCCCUAGAUGUUUACUAUUACAAAUUUGGCUGAUACUCUUGUGUGUUUCUUGUUAUGUGUGUAUCAUUUCCCCUUGCAUGCGCAUCUAGUAGGUAGGUCAAUGGCACACGUAUCUUCAACUUAUUGGAUAAGGUUAGGUGAUCUUCCCCGGUGGUUGUAAAAAUGUACACUCCCGCCAGAGUCUGUCCCCUCACUUUCUUGCCAACACUUGGUUCGGUUUUCA